AAAUUAAGAGAUAGAUGAAUUUACCAACAAUUAAUCUAGACAAUGAACAAUAUCCACUUAUCACUCAUAAAAUCCAAAGAAAUGUUGAAAGGAACCCGUGAGAAAUAAAAAAAGAAUUUAUAAACUGUCCAAGCUCACUGUUAGAACGUUUCAAAAGAAAGUCCUAGAAAAUCGGACUUAUGAACCUAGCACGUCUCUGGUUAAAUACCAACAGACCCAGCAUACAAAAACGCAAAUCCUGGCUUAGAACUUUGAACAACACUUGUUUAUAUUCUCAAAGAAUAAAGCAGUACUUUUGUUUCGACCUUUUAGACUGGUAAGCUUAGACCAACGAAGGUGAUCGUCUGGAUGACAAGUUGGGAAAGGUUAGCUUGAGUAAAGAUGGAGGCUUAGCAGAUACUUCUGAGUCAAGCUAUUACAACUCCAAAAUGUAAAAGAAGUAUAAUCAAUUCAGAGAAUAGUUUUAAAAAAAUUGAAUACUCCCGUAGAUGAUUUUUUGGUAACCAAUACAUAUCUGAAAUUUUUUCAUGUUAAUGAAUUUUCUGAUUUUUUGAAAAGCAGGUCAAUUGAGUUUCAUCAUUACUAAAAAUGUUUAAAACCUGUUUCAAAGAAUUAUUUUCUUAAAAAAAAAAAAAAAUAUUACAUUCAGAAGAAAGCAGGGCUAAGAAAUAAAACAGUGGCGUAACAUUAUAAAGCUUUAUACUAAUAUAAUUCGGAAUCCCUCUUUUCCUUGAUAAUUUGUUUCAUCUUCCUUGGUAUGAUGAAUAAAUACGAAGCAUUGAAGACAUAAUUUCAUAAACGGUCAUGAACCUAGGAAAUUGGUCCUACCCAUGACAAGAUAUAAGCCUUGUAAAUUUAAUGGUAAAUUUGAAUUUGAAAAAUCCAUUCAUAUUAAGAAUAAACAUACUGGUUUCCAUUUUUAAAGCGGUUACACUUGACUAGAAGCGUAAAAGGCUUGAUGAACAACUAUUGAUAUGGCAGCUAGAAAACAAUAUUAUUAUCAUUGUCUAGCUGACUUAUAUCACAAUUUGGGGAGGUAAGCAAUUUGAAAGAUAAAAAAGUAUCCAAAUUAUUAGACUCAAAAAGAUAGCAUUUCAACGAAAAAUCAUUAU